UGGGCAACCGGCGGUGUGGGCAGCCUCGUAGGCCAAGAUUGUACGGAGAAUGAUCCGCUGUUACCGCGCGCCGCGGCUGUUCGGGUCACCGAAGGCGCGGCUGCCGCCUUUGUCAAGUUUGCCUUGCAUUGGACAAACCCCAGUCAUGACCUGUCGGCACUACCAUAGCGGCCCUGCCACUUCACCAGUGAGCUCUGUCGCCGGUGUUCUGGCGCCGCCUCAAGGCGCUCCCCAGACGUACCUGGACUUCAUGGAACGCCUGUGGAACAGCAAGUGGUUCGGCACGGUGGAUGGAAGCGCGGCCGCGGUUGCGAAGGCACACAUCGCCUCCGCUGACCCUUCUCUGUUUACGCAGAUGUUUCUCUCAUGUCAGCAGGCACUAGGCAUGGAGGCGGGCACGCUCCUUCUUCUCGCUGGCGCCCUCACACGCCUGUGCACCCUCUUCUUCUCGCUCUACGGGGAGCGAGCAGGGGAGCGGAUGCGGCUGGCUCUGCCGGAGCUGAAGAAACCUCAAGAGGAUUUCAAUCGCGUCUACUUCAAUGACUUGGCCUCCGCCAUGGAAGUGCAGAUUGCGGCGAGCGUGCUCAAGAGCCACCGCCGCGCGGUGUUUGGCAAGUAUCACACCUCGAACCUCAAGUGCAUUGCGUCUGUUGGCAUGGCGCCGGUGAUCAUGACGGGACUCUAUCAAGUCUCCGCGCUGUGCGAGAAUGCCUCCCUCGACGUAGGAACCUCCUCGUACCUGUGGUGCACUGCCCUGACGCUACCUGACCCGUUUGCCGUCCUUCCCACUCUCACGUGUGUCAUCACGCUGCUCAACUUCGAGCUCUCCUUGUCGAAAGAGAUCAAGACAGGCUGGAUGCGAAACGUGAUUUGGGGCGCGCGGCUGGGGUGCCUGUGCGUUAUUCCCGUUCUGUCGUCAUUCCGCUCUGGGGUGUGUCUCUACCUAGUUGGCAUGAAUGCGGUGGGCCUGCUGCAACCGCUGCUCUUGCGCUCUGCCGUCAUUCGGCGCUGGCUCGGAUUCCCCUCAGCAGAGGAGAUAGCCGCCGUAACGCCUCGCCGAAGCGCAACGGUACCUCAGACAGCGGUCAGCGGUCGCGCUGCAACACUACGAGAGCGUAUCGUGGCGGCUGUGGCGCCGGCAGAGAAGCCGGCGGCUGCCGGCGUGACUGUGAAGGCCAGUGAUGCAGCGGCUGAUGUAUUGAAGACGAGUAUGACCGCUCAGUUUCCCUAUCUGAGCCAUCUACUGAACCCGCAAGUCGACGAGUAUCAAGACCUUUUCGCUAAGGCCCCUACUAAGCAGUCAAAGCCAGACUUCAGUGGUCGUGGCCGCGGCGCAUCGUCUUCUAACCGCUUGCAGGGGCAGCAGUGCACCGCUUUUGCGUACUCCGGCGCUGCACCUGCCCAUGGCAGCCGCUAUGCACGAGGUGCGAACCCGCUCAUGCAAGAAACGCCCCUGCAUCGUCAGGCACUGUCAUCUAGCCACGCAUCGCCACACGAAAGCGGCGGAGCUGGAGACAGUAGCGGUGAUGCUGCGCCUGCUAGGGAGACGUCUAGUGCCGCAUCAAUCGCUGCUGCAAAACGCCCACCGAAGCCGAAAGGGUCGGUGUUCGCGUCGAGUGGGUGGAAGAGUACACAGCUGUCAUUCUCGGAGGCGGACUUUAUUCCGACCUACUCAAGUGGAACUCCCUCACACCCUUCAUCGCCAUCGUCGCAGCCGCACAAGUGAAUCGGCGUCCCUAAAAACUUUGACGCGGUGGUGAUGUGGUUGGUCUCUCCCUCUCUCUCUGUGAUCGUGUCUCCGAUGAGGAGAGGGAGGGCAUGCCUCCGCGUAUAACACAACGGAAAAACAAUAAUGAUUCGUGCAAGAGCGGCAGAUGUCAGCAUUUAGCUUGCUGGCAGUGUGGAGGGAUGUCGACUAUAUAGCCAUCUGCAUCGAGACCGCUUCGUUUUUCUCCCCCUCCCCCUGUAGUCCCCAGUUCGUGUAAAGAACCCUCUCUGUGAGGGAUCAGUGCUGUACUG
rnacentral:misc_RNA from 1 species